rnacentral:misc_RNA from 1 species
GGGGUAGCCAAAUGCCUCGU